CACGUAGGAGGCAAACGUUAUCCGGAUUUACUGGGCGUAAAGCGCGUGUAGGUGGUUCUGUAAGUAGGGCGUGAAAGCUCCCGGCUCAACUGGGAGAGGCCGUUCUAAACUGCAGAGCUAGAGGAUGGUAGAGGUAGGUGGAAUUCCAGGUGUAGCGGUGGAAUGCGCAGAUAUCUGGAGGAACACCAGUGGCGAAGGCGGCCUCCUGGACCAUUCCUGACACUCAGACGCGAAAGCUAUGGUAGCAAACGGGAUUAGAUACCCCCGUAGUCCCU
rnacentral:rRNA from 1 species